rnacentral:lncRNA from 1 species
CUCCUUUGUUCAACGAUCUUCCUCAUUUCAGUCAAUAUGUACAAACUGUUUUGUCAGCUCAGUAUAAUUGAACACACAGACUUUUUUUCUUUGUAAAUUAAGCCAUACUUGUGAUGAAUAUUUAAUGUUUGGCAUAAGUCCACAGUCUGUGUUAACAUAGCUUCAAACUGUAACUCUUUUAGUGGUAUAUACCAAACACAGGUAAAAAUGAUUUGAGAUCUCAUCCUGUGAUUGAAACUUCAUUGGAAAAGUGGGCAGAGGAUUUCGAACCAUAUUUGAACUCAUUGAAAUUAUAAACCCAAGAGGAAGAAGAGAAAAACCGAUCUAUUAGCGUGCUUCUCCCUCUGUCUCUGGUGUUCCCUCUCCCUUUCAGAAAUAUAAUAUUUCCCUGGAUAUUCUCUACUUGCUCCUAUUCAAAGAAAUGUUUCAAAUCAUCCCAGGGCUCAUUUGUACCAAGAUGCUUUCCAUCAUUAUCUCUCAGUUCACUUUGAAUAUUUUAAAAGUUAUUUCAGGUUUGAAAAACAGUUAGGGAGCCUGAACAUAGAAUCAUCCAGAACCACUUAAUUCAUUCAUUUAGUUCUUCACUUUCAUUUGUUCCUCAUAAGAAAAAGGGGAAAAAAAUCCCAAGUUCUCUGUGAGAUGUUGGGUAAAUUGCAUCUUAAAAGCGAGAGUGCGUCUCCCGAUGAUAGGAAUGGAUAAUAAAAUACUAUGCCAUUUUAAAAUGCUAUUACCUGCCUGCAUUCCACAAUAUCUUUCCCCUUAGAUGGCUCCCAUAUAGGAAGCAUUUUAAAAAAUUAUUUCCUGCUAUUUUCUUCAGCACCCAGGGAGCUUCAUUAGAGAAAUAUAGUGAAGGUAGGUGCAUUUGACAAGAGACAAAUGAUGUUAGGGAGAAGCUCUCUGAUGAGGCAGUUCGCAAUGUAUCUGUUCAGCAGAGUAUCUCUGACUUGUCAGGAGGCAGGUCUGGCAUCUGCUUCAAGAGCGACAUAUGGCUGGUGUUAAACACUGUCAGUUCUGCAGAGGUGAACCUAUACGCAUCCAGGACAGGAAGAGCUGAAUACACCGACUGUUUGUAAAUCCGACAUUUUUCCACACUGGCUUUGCUUGCUGAAAUGUGGCAGAAGUGAGGAACACAAAUCGGUUCUGCAAAACUCACAGAUGAAGAAACUGAGGUUCUGAGUGGUGAUGUGAUCAGAACAAGAAUGAACCACUGGCAGUACCCACUCUUCUCCACCAAAUCUUGCACCCCAGGCUGUUCCAGGUCUUGCCACAAAGUGAAAUUUGAAAACUGCAUAUGCAUUUGGCAGGAAAAUCACUCCUGGCCGAAAAAAAAUCAUCUCCUGGCUUGUUGAAAAGAACUCAUAUCUCAUACAACGAGGGCAUGAAGAAUGUUCGCUGAACAUAGGCUCAGAAUAGGUACCAAAGGAUGCUCUUCAGAGGACAUACUAGAGCACAAGGUUACAUGGAUGCAAGAACAUCUUAAUAAGGGAACCCAUUCCCUUGCAGACAAUGUUUCAGGAAAAAAAGUUGAACUCAUCCUGGUGUUUUCUAUUACAGAUGAGGCUGAGUGUAAACCAGAAGUUUCUAAAUUGAUUCACAUUUAAGACAGGGUUAUGUAAUAAUUUCAACUUUUUUCUUAUAUGAAAAGACUAGAUUUAAAAAUACAUCAUUAAAAUAUAUCACAUUUCAGAAGAAACUCAACUUUCAAGAUAACAUUUAACAGGAAAAAUACUUCCAUAAAAGUUUCUUAACAAUGCAACCGCUUUCUGAAAGUGCAUUGCAAGACAGGACAUUAUCCUGAUGAUUACAGGUACUGAAAAGCAGCAGCUUCAGAAACACUUCGCAAUUUGCAUUUGCGGAAGAUGCAUACAAAUUUAUUCUUUUGAUGAACUCUCUCUUUCCCAAGAUAUAUUUGGAUGAGGCAGUAGAACUGUAAGAGCACAGCUCUGUGCUCCGAGAUCAGUAUCAGAAAAGUGUACAAUACUGCCUUUUAAAGCAUUGCAUAUUUUUUUCCUUAACACUAAGUAACUAUUUUUUUCUUUAACUUUUAUUAAUACUCAUGGGCAAGAAUGGUAAGAAUAUAAAAGCCAACCAGGACAGAAUGCAGAUAAAAUCAGAGGAAAAGGAUGAAAGAAGCAAAGUUAAAGAAGAGGACCCAGGCAAAAAUGAGUCCGGUAGCACACUCAGUGAAUAGAAAGACAGUUAAGUCCAGUCUCAGGAGGUAAGACAGAAACUGCCAGAAUACACAUGAACCCUCUUAGAGAUUCAUAGUACAUAGAUUUAACAUGCUAAAAUGACAUACAUUAAACAUGUGCAAAAUUAGGUUGUCCUACAAUUUAGGGUUUCCACGCAACAAAGAAUGUCAGAAGUCUAAAAUCCGAUUUGCUACAUCCCCUUGUGCAUGCAGAAUGAGUGUUAGGGGUGAAGAGGAAUAAAAGUGCACAUUUAUUCAUCCUCUAUGGUCUCCUAGCCUUGGUAGGUUCCAUUAUUCGUAUUCCUUCUCAAAUUUCUCCCACACCAGCUCUUCCAGGGUGUUCACAGCUGGAGGAGGUAGAAAGUUCCGAGGCAGAUGGCCAUGUCACCUUGAGUAACCCUCAGGUGUUCUUCGUGAUGGGAAGAACCAUAUUUGUAAGCAGAGUAAGACACUUUGCAGUUCUCAAGUUUUCCCUCAGCUGUUCUCAAGGAUGACAUGAUCAAGAAACAGUAAGAGGCAAAUGGGAAGACUAUGCAAACCUUAGUUCAGGAAUUUCUACCCUGUACCCACUUCCACCCUAUGGGAAGACUAUGCAAACCUUAGUUCAGGAAUUUCUACCCUGUACCCACUUCCACCCUAUGCUCAGUAGCAGUAAUGAUUUUGACAACUGUCCCAAAGCAUUCAUUUCAUGAUGUCCUCUGCACUCUCAAAGACAUUUGAGUCAGAAAUAGAAUUUACUACUUCGGGUCCUUAUUCUAAAUUCUUUGAAUUCCCCUACUCACUAGCUUGUCAGCUGAAUUUGCUAAAAUGGCACUGUUACUGACCCCCCCAGAAUCCAGGUCAAAUUUAGCUAAUAUACUCUUACAGAUUAGAAAACGAGCUUGAUUCUGUUUUUCUUCUCAUGUAAGGAAGUGGAAUGUGUGAGUGUGUAGGUGGGGAGGUGGGGGCUGUCACUGAUUUCUGAAAUUGACUGAAUGAAAAUUAUCACAUCAUUUUGAUGUGUUAAAUACCCUAAAUCAUUCUCCAUGAUCAGAUAGUCUCUCAAAAUUUAAGAUGUCCUAUGGUUUCUUUUAGAUUUCUAAGGCUUAGGACCAUGAUUUUUCUUAAUGAGGCAAAAUGUUCAAUGUGCAGAGCAUCUCCAAAACUCCCCUUUCUGAAGGUUUUUCAGACAUCUGACAGGUAACCCCUGGCUAACCCAGCUAUCUACUGGACACAGGCAGCAAAGCCACAUCAAAUCAAUGAAUGCCAGACACACUUGGAUACACCUUCUAAUGUAUAUAAAAA